GCACUGGUGGGGUAGCGGUAACCUUGUUCAUUCCCAUUCAAUGAGAUGAACAGCCCCGGGUUCGACUCCCGGCUAGCGCA